AAUAAAACACUAUUACAUCAAACUGCAGACAAACAAAAAUCUGAAUACAUUCGCUAUCUUCUCAGGGCAUUUCUGUACCUAAUGAGCACAGCUGAGCCCAAAGGCGUCAAGAUGUUUCUUGCCAUUAGGCAAUGGGGUGGAGGAUUAUCCAAUAAUUCCUGGCGGGCAUUGUCGGUUCUUCUGGGUAAAAUAGGAAGAAGGUCAAAAGAGGAUGCAAAUGUUUUUUAAUCAAUGGAAGAGAGAAGUGAUACAUUCCUCUGACCUUUUCGAUUGCUGGGAAGAUAUAUUAUCUGCAUUAAUUAGCAUGUUGAAGAAUUCCUUCUGGAUUGCCAAGUGCCUUCCUAGCUCACAUCCACGGUCCUAGAAUGCCAGAACUUGGAAGACUCCAUGUUAAGCCUUCUUUGUAAUUACUGCUGAGGAGACUGAGACCCAAGGAGCCAAGUCAUGUUUGGGGUCCGAGACUGGGAGAACCAUGACCUCGGUGAAACCAUUUUGCAAAGCCACUGGUGAGCCUCUCCAUGUGAGCAGAAUGAACUCUUAGCUACCCUUCUGUUUGUAUUUCUUUGUUUGAAUUUUCCAUCAUGUGAACAAUUAGUUAUCAGUCAAAAUAUGCUAUGUCUAACAUCUUUCUUUCCAUUUCUAAAUGUAAAAAAUGAAACUUCUCCUUUCUGAAAGCCUAAAAAUCUGUAACCGGUGAAAACUUAACACUUUUUUUCUGAAGUACAUUAAAAGAAGCAUAGUACAGAAUA